rnacentral:rRNA from 1 species
CACCGGCGGCUCGAGUGGUGGCCACUUUUAUUGGGUCUAAAGCGUCCGUAGCCGGCUUGGCAAGUCCCCUGGGAAAUCUGGCGGCUUAACCGUCAGGCGUCCAGAGGAUACUGCCAGGCUUGGGACCGGGAGAGGUGAGGGGUACCUCAGGGGUAGGGGUGAAAUCUUGUGAUCCCUGAGGGACCACCAGUGGCGAAGGCGUCUCACUAGAACGGGUCCGACGGUCAGGGACGAAAGCUGGGGGCACGAACCGG